rnacentral:rRNA from 1 species
GAUGAACGCUGGCGGCGUGCCUAAUACAUGCAAGUCGAGCGAACAGACGAGGAGCUUGCUCCUCUGACGUUAGCGGCGGACGGGUGAGUAACACGUGGAUAACCUACCUAUAAGACUGGGAUAACUUCGGGAAACCGGAGCUAAUACCGGAUAAUAUAUUGAACCGCAUGGUUCAAUAGUGAAAGACGGUUUUGCUGUCACUUAUAGAUGGAUCCGCGCCGCAUUAGCUAGUUGGUAAGGUAACGGCUUACCAAGGCAACGAUGCGUAGCCGACCUGAGAGGGUGAUCGGCCACACUGGAACUGAGACACGGUCCAGACUCCUACGCGAGGCAGCAGUAGCGAAUCUUCCGCAAUGGGCGAAAGCUUGACGGAGCAACACCGCGUGAGUGAUGAAGGUCUUCGGAUCGUAAAACUCUGUGAUUAGGGAAGAACAAAUGUGUAAGUAACUAUGCACGUCUUGACGGUACCUAAUCAGAAAGCCACGGCUAACUACGUG